rnacentral:rRNA from 1 species
GAUGAAGGACGUGAUAAGCUGCGAUAAGCUUCGGGGAGUUGCACGUAAACUUUGAUCCGAAGAUUUCCGAAUGAGGAAACUCACUUAGAGUAAUGUCUAAGUAUCAUUAAGUGAAUACAUAGCUUAAUGAGGGGAACUCAGGGAACUGAAACAUCUAAGUACCUGAAGGAAGAGAAAGAAAUUCGAUUCCGUAAGUAGCGGCGAGCGAACGCGGAUUAGCCCAAACCAAUAAAGUUUUCUUUAUUGGGGUUGCGGACAUAUCAUAACGAAGAGGUAUCGUAAUUGAAGAGGUUUGGAAAGACCCACCACAGAAGGUAAUAGUCCUGUAUGUUAAACGAGAAGACUUUAGAUAUGAUCCAGAGUACCACGGGACACGUGAAACCCUGUGGGAAGCAGGAGGGACCACCCUCCAAGGCUAAAUACUACCUAGUGACCGAUAGCGUAUAGUACCGUGAGGGAAAGGUGAAAAGAACCCCGGGAGGGGAGUGAAAUAGAACCUGAAACCCUGCACUUACAAGCUGUGGAAGCACAUUUCUUGUGUGACCGCGUACUUUUUGUAGAACGGGCCAACGAGUUACGUUAAGUAGCAAGGUUAAGCACUUAAGGUGCGGAGCCGUAGCGAAAGCGAGUUUUAACUGAGCGUUCAGUUACUUGACGUAGACCCGAAACCGGGCGACCUACCCAUGAGCAGGAUGAAGCGAAAGUAAAAUUUCGUGGAGGUCCGAACCCACGAGCGUUGAAAAGCUCGGGGAUGACUUGUGGGUAGCGGUGAAAUUCCAAUCGAGCCCGGAGAUAGCUGGUUCUCCCCGAAAUAGCUUUAGGGCUAGCCUCAAGGUGAGAGAUACGGAGGUAGAGCACUGAAUGUCCUAGGGGGUAUUGCACCUACCGAAGACUAUCAAACUCCGAAUGCCGUCAUCUUAUACUUGGGAGUCAGACUGUGGGUGAUAAGAUUCAUAGUCGAAAGGGCAACAGCCCAGAUCGUCAGCUAAGGUCCCUAAAUGUAAGUUAAGUGGUAAAGGAUGUGGGAUUGCACAGACAACCAGGAUGUUGGCUUAGAAGCAGCCACUCAUUCAAAGAGUGCGUAAUAGCUCACUGGUCGAGUGAUCCUGCGCCGAAGAUUUCCGGGGCUAAAACUUACUACCGAAGCUACGGCAUCAGUAAUGAUGGGUAGGGGAGCUUCCCAUACGGGUUGAAGCAUGACCGUAAGGACAUGUGGACAGUAUGGGAGUGAGAAUGUUGGCAUGAGUAGCGAGAUGUGGGUGAGAAUCCCACAGGCCGUAAACCCAAGGUUUCCAGGGGAAGGUUCGUCCGCCCUGGGUUAGUCGGGACCUAAGCUGAGGCCGAAAGGCGUAGGUGAUGGACAACAGGUUGAUAUUCCUGUACUACCGAUAACCGUUUGAGAGAAGGGAUGACACAGUAGGAUAAGCUAAGCACACUGUUGGUUAUGUGUGCCCAAGCAUUGAGGCAGUCAAAGUAGGCAAAUCCGCUUUGAUAAUGCUGGGAUGUGAUGGGGAGCGAAAUUUAGUAGCGAAGUAGCUGAUUUCACACUGUCAAGAAAAGUCUCUAUCGAGGUUAAAGGUACCCGUACCGCAAACCGACACAGGUGGGUGAGGAGAGUAUCCUAAGGCCAGCGAGAGAACUGUUGUUAAGGAACUCGGCAAAAUGACCCCGUAACUUAGGGAUAAGGGGUGCCACCAUCAGGUGGCCGCAGAGAAUAGGCCCAAGCGACUGUUUACCAAAAACAUAGGUUUCUGCUAAGUCGCAAGACGAUGUAUAGGAGCUGACGCCUGCCCGGUGCUGGAAGGUUAAGGGGAUCUGUUAGAGCAAUCGAAGCAGUGAACUUAAGCCCCAGUAAACGGCGGCCGUAACUAUAACGGUCCUAAGGUAGCGAAAUUCCUUGUCGGGUAAGUUCCGACCCGCACGAAAGGCGUAACGAUUUGGGCACUGUCUCAACAACAGACUCGGUGAAAUUGUAAUUCCGGUGAAGAUGCCGGAUACCUGCGACAGGACGGAAAGACCCCAUGGAGCUUUACUGUAGCUUGACAUUGGGUCUUGGUACUACAUGUACAGGAUAGGUGGGAGGCUUUGAAACCAGGACGCCAGUUUUGGCGGAGCCAUCCUUGGGAUACCACCCUUGUAGUACUGGGACUCUAACCAUAGGCCAUGAAUCUGGUCUUGGGACACUGUCAGGUGGGCAGUUUGACUGGGGCGGUCGCCUCCCAAAAGGUAACGGAGGCGCUCAAAGGUUCUCUCAGUACGGUCGGAAAUCGUACGUAGAGUGUAAAGGCAAAAGAGAGCUUGAUUGCAAGACAUACAGGUCGAGCAAGGAUGAAAAUCGGACUUAGUGAUCCGGUGGUUCUGCGUGGAAGGGCCAUCGCUCAACGGAUAAAAGCUACCCUGGGGAUAACAGGCUUAUCUCCCCCAAGAGUCCACAUCGACGGGGAGGUUUGGCACCUCGAUGUCGGCUCAUCACAUCCUGGGGCUGUAGUAGGUCCCAAGGGUUGGGCUGUUCGCCCAUUAAAGUGGUACGCGAGCUGGGUUCAGAACGUCGUGAGACAGUUCGGUCCCUAUCCGUCGCAGGCGUAGGAAAUUUGAGAAGACCUGUCCUUAGUACGAGAGGACCGGGAUGGACGUACCUCUGGUGUACCAGUUGUCCUGCCAAGGGCAUGGCUGGGUAGCUAUGUACGGAAUGGAUAAGCGCUGAAAGCAUCUAAGCGCGAAGCCAACUUCAAGAUAAGAUUUCCCACCGCAAGGGUAAGACCCCAGAAAGACUAUCUGGUUGAUAGGUCGAAGGUGUAAGUGCAGCAAUGUAUUUAGCUUAUCGAUACUAAUAGGUCGAGGACUUGACCAA